ensembl:lncRNA
CUCCCUUGAUUUUUAUUUGUUACAACAAUGAAAUUAAAAAAAAAAAAACCCUUUCUUCUCAUUGUAGAUGGAGGAACACAGAUGCACAGCCCAGGUCUCCAGCUAAAAGAGACAGUGAAAGGGAGUCCGUACUGGUGUUCAUAAGGAAAGAUACUUUAUAAGGACUGGUAUGCAUGGUGGAAGCUCUCUUCUGACUGUGCACCCCCACAGAACACAGAAGGAAGCAACAGAAGGGUUUUUGGCUGUUUUUGGCUUCCUAGCGGCAAACAGUACUCCUUGCUCAGCCAUUCUGGUUGUUAGUGGUAGAAGGUAGUCAGAGUGGUACCAGGCAGAACAUGGGUAUAGUGAAAUGACUGGGCGUGUGGCAGUGAAAAACACCCAGCUUAGGGUGAGAUACAAAUCUUUGCUCUUCAGCAAUAAACUCACUACUGAUUCAAGACCUCUCUUUUUUGCAUUCCCUCUACCAGAGGGAUGCACCAUCAACUUUCAGCUCAGACAGUCCAAUUCAGUAAUUGCUCUGACUGUUCCUGUGUGUUCCAGUGACAGCCUCCUGCUCAAGAGAAAGCCUGGGUUACAGAAGCAGGAAGUCUUAUCCUCUGGUCUAGUUCAAAGCAUUUAUCAUCCAUGGGAGUAGGUAAAGAAAACCCUUGUCAGGAAAGCAGGCCCAAGAACUAAAUCCCACAUCAGAAAACAGCCCUUCCUCAUGGUACACAUCUGCUUGCACUAAUGAGUCAGUGUAAUAGCACACUGAGACACAGUUCAAGUCAAGGCAGUAGGAGAGUCGUUUUGCAUCUCUGUCAACUCCAUUUUCUAUCCUGCAUUAUCCAGCUGCUGAACUUCUAUCACAGCACAACUGGAUUAUAAACUGUAAGUUUAUUAAUAAUAAUUACAGUUUUUAUUAUUAAUUUACAGUUUAUAUUAAUAUAUUAUAUUAAUAAUAACAGUUAUUAACAGUGCAGUUAAUAACGGCAGACUCCCACAUGAGGAUACAAUAUACUGCAUACAAACAUUGAACACAAAGGCGCAACCCCAGCAAAGUACCACAUCUUUUGUUAUAAAGGGAAACAGGACAACAUAUUUGGCAUUUUUGCUGGCUUACCUACUGAAAAACCCAAUACAGUUCUUAGUGGACUCUUCUUAAAGGAAAGCAGAAGGUCACUGUAAGACAGUCAACACUGCUCCUCCCUCAGGACAGCACACCCAUCUUCAAGCCAGGGAAGCCCUACUGCAUUCGAGAAAGGCUGCCAUGCAGAAAUUCAGCUGCAACAAUACAGACACAGGAAAGAUCCUCAGAGAUUUCAUCUGGUGAGUGAAGUGAGUCUGAGGCAUUGUACUGUUGAAGUAGAUGAUUUGUAAGCAUUUGUUAUUGACAUAAGUCUCACUUUUUAUUUAUUUUACAGAACAUGCAAUGCUAAACAGCUGACCAAAGGCAUCAUUUU